GCAUAACCCCGGGAAACUGGGGAUAAUUCCGGAUAACGCACAUAUGCUGGAAUGCUUUAUGCGUAAAAUGGAUUCGUCUGCCCAAGGAUGGGUCUGCGGCCUAUCAGGUAGUAGUGGGUGUAAUGUACCUACUAGCCAACAACGGGUACGGGUUGUGAGAGCAAGAGCCCGGAGAUGGAUUCUGAGACAUGAAUCCAGGCCCUACGGGGCGCAGCAGGCGCGAAAACUUUACAAUGCGGGAAACCGUGAUAAGGGGACACCGAGUGCCAGCAUCAUAUGCUGGCUGUCCAGGUGUGUAAAAUACACCUGUCAGCAAGGGCCGGGCAAGACCGGUGCCAGCCGCCGCGGUAACACCGGCGGCCCGAGUGGUGAUCGUGAUUAUUGGGUCUAAAGGGUCCGUAGCCGGUUUGGUCAGUCCUCCGGGAAAUCUGACGGCUCAACCGUUAGGCUUUCGGGGGAUACUGCCAGGCUUGGAACCGGGAGAGGUAAGAGGUACUACAGGGGUAGGAGUGAAAUCUUGUAAUCCCUGUGAGACCACCUGUGGCGAAGGCGUCUUACCAGAACGGGUUCGACGGUGAGGGACGAAAGCUGGGGGCACGAACCGGAUUAGAUACCCGGGUAGUCCCAGCCGUAAACGAUGCUCGCUAGGUGUCAGGCAUGGCGCGACCGUGUCUGGUGCCGCAGGGAAGCCGUGAAGCGAGCCA
rnacentral:rRNA from 1 species